GCUUUCGUUGAGCUAAAAAGAAUCGUUUGCUUCUCAUUCACUCGUUUGGCAUUAUUAAACUGAAUACGAAUCUAAGCCCAGCCAGCAGAGAGUUUAUAAUUCAUCUUCAUCACAGGGUGUUAGAUCCAGUUUCAAGGUGAUUUUACCAUUGUAAUCUUGUGGAAUUAUCAAAUUCCUUUUCCACUCUCAUAGUGAGUCGCUAGAGAGGCGCGAUGGUACGAACUCUACAUUUGCAGGACGCAGGAAUUGAGGUGGUGGAAGCUUACUUGAUGGAUCGAAGCUGUUGAAGCAUUCCUCCCUCACGCCACCUGAGAGAAAAAAGAGAGAAACACGUUUAGUUUCAUCAUGCGCAUACAUACAUACAUCCACGUCUUUGUAGCCGCCCCGAGACUAGCGUUACGUCACAUGGAGGUUGCUUUGUCUGGCUGCGACUGGCAAAGAUUCAAGCGUUACCUCCGUAUUCGCGAUCCCCAAGAAGAACUUGCUCAUAGUCUUCCCUCGAGGAACGAUCCAUCGAUCCAUCGACUUGCUCGACGGAGAGCGAGAGCGCAGCGCACAGAACAGCAAGAACCUGAGGUGAGGCAACGGUAGUAGUAAUUGCUCUCUACGAAAAGGAGCAAAAAGCGUAAAAGAACCGCGUACCUUCGUACUAGCAUGGCGAACAAGCCAGUUCCAUUGCUACCAGCAGCUGUGAUGACGACGCUCCUGGCAGUAGCCGGAAUAGCUUGGACGCUUCUCAG
rnacentral:lncRNA from 1 species